rnacentral:sRNA from 1 species
GGAUGAGAGGGUGAUCUGACGGGGACAGCUGUCAUCCGUCAUCCCAUUGACCUUGAGGUUAAUUCACCUGAUCUGGCUGGCUGAGUAAGGGUCAUUUCCAUCCGCCCUCACUACCCCAUGGGCAUCCCCUUUGAAACUCCUUGAAUGAUAAUACUAAAAAAAGAAGAGAACACUUCUUUCAUCAGGAAUGUCUAUUCACUCUUUCAACAAAUGUUUAUUCAACUUCAUUUAUCAAAUAUUAUCUAAU